UACGUAGGGUGCGAGCGUUGUCCGGAAUUAUUGGGCGUAAAGAGCUCGUAGGCGGUGUGUCACGUCGGCCGUGAAAACCUGGGGCUUAACUCUGGGCGUGCGGUCGAUACGGGCAUCACUAGAGUUCGGCAGGGGAGACUGGAAUUCCUGGUGUAGCGGUGAAAUGCGCAGAUAUCAGGAGGAACACCGGUGGUGUAGACGGCUCUCUGGACCGUAACUGACGCUGAGACACGAAAGCGUGGGUAGCAAACAGG
rnacentral:rRNA from 1 species